AAUCAACGCUGGCGGCGUGCCUCAGACAUGCAAGUCGAACGAUUAAAGACUUCCUUCGGGAAGUGCAUAAAGUGGCGCACGGGUGAGUAACACGUAAGUAAUCUACCCUCGAGCGGGGAAUAACGUUCGGAAACGGACGCUAAUACCGCAUAACGCAGCGGCACCGCAAGGUGACAGUUGUUAAAGGAGUAAUUCGCUUGAGGAGGAGCUUGCGGCAGAUUAGCUUGUUGGUAAGGAACGGCUUACCAAGGCUACGAUCUGUAUCCGGUCUAAGAGGACGGUCGGACACACUGACACUGAGUAACGGGUCAGAC
rnacentral:rRNA from 1 species